UUGCACUGCUACAGAUAUGUUUGUGUUAUCGUAUCAACAGCAGAGUGGUCCUCCUGGUAUUUCUGUAGCUGUGUAGCAGAUGGAUGUGACUACUACAAGUGUGUGGCUUAGUCUCCAGCCGCAGUGGAGGCGUGUUGUGGCGCGCACUGUGCGUCAUGCGGCCGCUGCUUCCGUUCGGGCCAGGGCAGGAAUAGACACCGCUGCUCAAGUUCUCCCCCGGCCAUACGUCAGUCUUGGGGUAACAGUUGUAGGUGACCUGAAUCCUGACGACCUCUCGUUGUGUCCUGGACGCCGUGGGACGGCGUUCUCCUCUUCUCUCUCCGUUGCUACUCCAGGCCCACGUGACCCUUGUGGCAGUGGCUCGAUAGGACAGGACAGGACAGUGUCUAUUGCGGAUAGCGUUGCCAGUGUCUCUACUGUUACUGCUGCUUCCUCCAUGGUCAGCUGUGCUGAACAUUGAUCCGUUACGUGUGUGUCAGCGAGUACUCAGAUGAUGGGCAGAAAUCUGGAUGGCAGAGCUGCAUCUUAGUAAGGGGUAUUAUCCGCAGUGGCGGCGUGGUUGCUCAUAUUGCAGCGGGUUGUUCUGCCAAGGUCUCCAUAUGCAAAGUGAUCUGUUGGUUGAUGGACGGAUGACGGGAUGGUUCAGUAUUGAAAGUUGCAGUUGCUGGUAGAGUUGCUGAGAGUGUGAUGCUGCUGUGAUAGAGAUCAUGACUGAUGGUGAUGUCAGUAGCUGUACUAUUCCUCUGCUUCAUCUCUGGUCCUGGGGAACACGAAUCAGAUGUAUGCAGAUCAGUGAGGUUUCUGAUGACCUACACAUACCUGGAUGAUAUUGCUGCAAUGCAGAAAGGUGCUUCUGCCAUGGUCUUGCAGGACAUCUUCUAGUUGUGGAAAUGAUUUGUUUGUUUGGGUGACUGAACAGAAGACUGGAUGGUUCAUAUUGGAAAGGUGCUGUUGUUAUGGUUACCUGUGUUGUGGAUGAUGAGGUUGCUGGUGUAGGAGACCUGAACAUUACUGGCUACUGUUCAUUACUAGAAGAGAAUGCAGAGGAUUGUCAAGAUGUACAUUGUACAUGUCCAUCUGUUCAGACAGUACACAAGGUGAAUGAAGAUGGAACAUAUCCAUUUCAUCAAAAUUGUUCUCUUCUCAAUUGUUUUAUUUUGAUCUUGAAACUGCUACCUUCCUUGUUGGAGAAGUAACGUUGUCCCCCCUCCCUUAUCACCCCUCCCCCUUAUCAUCCCUCCCCCUCCCCUCCCCUCCUCCUUAUCACCCCUCCCCUUAUCACCCCUCC